GACGAACGCUGGCGGCGUGCUUGACACAUGCAAGUCGAACGGAAAGGCCUGCUUUCCCUUGUGGAUUGCGGGUACUCGAGUGGCGAACGGGUGAGUAACACGUGAGUGAUCUGCCCCCAACUUGGGUAUAAGCCUGGGAAACUGGGUCUAAUUCCCGAUAGGACUGCAGGGUGGUGCCUGUGGUGGAAAACGAUUUUCUAGUGGUUGGGGAUGAGCUCGCGGCCUAUCAGCUUGUUGGUGGGGUAAUGGCCUACCAAGGCGGCGACGGGUAGCCGGCCUGAGAGGGUGGACCGCCACAUUGGGACUGAGAUACGGCCCAGACUCCUACGGGAGGCAGCAGUGGGGAAUAUUGCACAAUGGGCGGAAGCCUGAUGCAGCGACGCCGCGUGUGGGAUGGCGGCCUUCGGGUUGUAACCUCCUUUCGGCCGCGAGGAAGCCACCUGGUUGGAAGGGUGGUGACGGUAGUGGUAGAAGAAGCACCGGCUAACUACGUG
rnacentral:rRNA from 1 species